AUCUAGCUGACGAGUUCCACAUAGGACGAAACGCGCUUCCUAGAU
rfam:Schistosoma mansoni, Puerto Rico, WGS project CABG01000000 data, contig: 0010